rnacentral:other from 1 species
UUUUUCCUGCUUGAUUCGCGGACUGCGUUUCUAUAACCCUACGGUUUUAUUUUCGGGAGCCUUGCUCGGGUGGCGAAAUGCAGACCUCCCGGUUAAACGGAUGCAGGGAGCUAGAAAUCACACGGCAGACACCCACCUACUUUUAGUAGGAGGUUAUGAUUAACGCAAUACGGUUAAGUGGGAGUUAC